GUGAGGCGGACGGAGACUCAAACUCGCGACACAUCGGAUCCCGCGCCGCGCGAGGCAGAACGUCCUCGAGCCACCGAUGACACCUUUACAGCCCUCGCGCCCGCGUAACACCGACGAGCGAAGUCUGGGCUUUUUUUUUUCCUGACGCGAAACGCAUUAGAUACGCGCCGUAGCAGAACUUAAAUACCAACACUGGUAAGAAACAGCAGGCUGACUGAAAACAGACGACCUAAGACAGCAGACGACGAACACGAGGAACAAUUGGCAGGUCCUGCUGACAGGCCCACGGCUGUGUGGAUCGGCCCUGAAGUGCGACGGGGGAUUUUUGGAAACCUGCAAUAUUUUCUGAAGUCGUCUGGUAAUGAAGAUCUCUCAAAUUACCAGCAAAUUCAGCACUGGAGGAACGAGAAACUAAUCGCUUGUAAAUGGAUGCCGAAGGUGCAGGUUGCUAAAGGAAAAUAAAUCAGAUCAGGUUUCCAAGUAAUGUUGGUCACUUGAGAAAUUUUUCUAACAGGUAUUAUGGCCAUAUAUGCAUAGACUUACAGUAGAUAACAGAACUAAUUUACUAAAAUGUCAAUGUGAAUCUAAUGCAGUUUAACAUGUAACUGUGUAAAUGGGCUAACAUGUAAACCACUUCCAUAAAAGCCCCAUUAAAAAAUGGAAUGGAGCUGCACUAAAAA